AGAAACAAAAACUAGCUAUAGAGAAAGACAGAGAGUGAUGCGUUCGAGAGAGAGAGAGAGAGAGAGAGAGAGCAAAGAUGAAGAAGAGAACAUAAAGAGAAGAUGAAGGGAAGAGUAGUCCUUCGGAGCGAUAACCAUUGCUUUGCUUGCGAUAGCCAUUGCUUCGCUCGAGUAGUCCUUCGGAUUUACCUCCUUCGCAACUUCGGUUGUAUUUGCUUUUCUGUCCGGUCAAUAAAGGCCCACGAACGAAGCAAACUGAGCUGUCUCACCUAUCUCUCCGACCAGAGUUCUCAUAUCUCUCCCUCGCACUGCCCAAUUUCAGGUUUCUCUCUCUUUCUCUGUCGAUCUCAGUCUUUCUCUAUUGAUCUCGGCUGCAAAUCAUAGGUUUCUCUCUCUCUCUCUCUCUCUCUCGGUCUCUCUAUCAAUAUCGGCCGCAAAUCACAGGUUUCUCUCUGUUGAUCUCGACCGCAAAUCACAAGUACCUGAGGAUCCAAGCGAUUAUUUGAACGUACGUAUAAGUUAGCUUUUGAUGUGGUACAGAUUAAUUUUGAUGCGGUACAGAUUACCUUUUGACAUGGUAUAGAUUACUUUUUUGGCAUGGUAUAGAUUACCUUUUGGUAUGGUACAAAUUAGUUUUUGGUGGUACAGAUUAACUUUUGGAUAUUAAUUUUGUUUAAUCCUUUGUUAUGUAUGGAAUUGUAUUUUUGAGGUUGGAUUGUACUUGGUUUAUAUGGAAUUUCUAUUGCAUUUUUAAU